CCUACGGGUGGCUGCAGUGGGGAAUAUUGGACAAUGGGCGAAAGCCUGAUCCAGCCAUGCCGCGUGUGUGAAGAAGGCCUUCGGGUUGUAAAGCACUUUCAGUGGGGAAGAAAGCCUUGGGGCUAAUACCCUCGAGGAAGGACAUCACCCACAGAAGAAGCACCGGCUAACUCCGUGCCAGCAGCCGCGUUAAUACGGAGGGUGCGAGCGUUAAUCGGAAUUACUGGGCGUAAAGCGCGCGUAGGCGGUCUGAUAAGCCGGUUGUGAAAGCCCCGGGCUCAACCUGGGAACGGCAUCCGGAACUGUCAGGCUAGAGUGCAGGAGAGGAAGGUAGAAUUCCCGGUGUAGCGGUGAAAUGCGUAGAGAUCGGGAGGAAUACCAGUGGCGAAGGCGGCCUUCUGGACUGACACUGACGCUGAGGUGCGAAAGCGUGGGUAGCAAACAGGAUUAGAUACCCUAGUAGUC
rnacentral:rRNA from 1 species